rnacentral:rRNA from 1 species
GGGGAAUAUUGCACAAUGGGGGAAACCCUGAUGCAGCGACGCCGCGUGGAGGAAGAAGGUCUUCGGAUUGUAAACUCCUGUUGUUGGGGAAGAUAAUGACGGUACCCAACAAGGAAGUGACGGCUAACUACGUGCCAGCAGCCGCGGUAAAACGUAGGUCACAAGCGUUGUCCGGAAUUACUGGGUGUAAAGGGAGCGCAGGCGGGAAGACAAGUUGGAAGUGAAAUCUAUGGGCUCAACCCAUAAACUGCUUUCAAAACUGUUUUUCUUGAGUAGUGCAGAGGUAGGCGGAAUUCCCGGUGUAGCGGUGGAAUGCGUAGAUAUCGGGAGGAACACCAGUGGCGAAGGCGGCCUACUGGGCACCAACUGACGCUGAGGCUCGAAAGUGUGGGUAGCAAACAGGAUUAGAUACCCUGGUAGUCCACACCGUAAACGAUGAUUACUAGGUGUUGGAGGAUUGACCCCUUCAGUGCCACAGUUAACACAAUAAGUAAUCCACCUGGGGAGUACGACCGCAAGGUUGAAACUCAAAGGAAUUGACGGGGGCCCGCACAAGCAGUGGAGUAUGUGGUUUAAUUCGACGCAACGCGAAGAACCUUACCAAGUCUUGACAUCCCUUGACGAACAUAGAAAUAUGUUUUCUCUUCGGAGCAAGGAGACAGGUGGUGCAUGGUUGUCGUCAGCUCGUGUCGUGAGAUGUUGGGUUAAGUCCCGCAACGAGCGCAACCCUUAUGGUCAGUUACUACGCAAGAGGACUCUGGCCAGACUGCCGUUGACAAAACGGAGGAAGGUGGGGAUGACGUCAAAUCAUCAUGCCCUUUAUGACUUGGGCUACACACGUACUACAAUGGCGUUAAACAAAGAGAAGCAAGACCGCGAGGUGGAGCAAAACUCAGAAACAACGUCCCAGUUCGGACUGCAGGCUGCAACUCGCCUGCACGAAGUCGGAAUUGCUAGUAAUCGUGGAUCAGCAUGCCACGGUGAAUACGUUCCCG